CUGAGCUGGCGCCCCCACCGGCCGAACCCGCCGGCGCCAUAAUAUCCUGUAUGCGUGGGAUGGGUUGCCUGUCUGAAAUGGUCUUCAAAUUUAGUUGUCUAUAGUCAACACAAAGUCUGAGGGAGCUGUCCUUUGUCCUUGUGCACACAUCUGGUGAGGAAUAGUUGGAUGAAGAUUUCUGGAUCAAUCCCCGAUUGAGGAGAUCUGUCAGGUCAUCUUUCACCUUGCGGUACAAAGGGUACUGAUGACAAGCAUGAGCUGAGUAGCGAGAUAACUCUGGCAGAUGUCUUGCAAAGAGAGUAUGGGCAGUUGAGGGAAAGCUGGUUGGAAGAGCAUUGGUGGGGACAGGACUCAGGAUCUGAAGAUAGCCUGUUGACAAAGCAACAGAUCUGGAGGACCUGUUGUACAAAUAUGGCUAUGUAAUAGAUGUAUUUGUUCUCCAUUAAAUUUUCUUGUAUUCAUUAAUGAAUUGGCAGCUAAAUUUCACUCCUUUACCAUGAGUUUACUUGUAAUGGCAGUUAAUUCUGGUGCACAAAUUACUGCGAGUAUUUCAGUCAGCAGAGGACAUCUUAAUAACUUAAGGUUAUUGUGCAUUUAAUUCUUGUAUAAAAGCAUGAACAGUUAUCUCAAAAAAGCCUGAAAAGUGGCUUACUUUUGAAACCACCUUGUCCUCCGUGAACAUAGAGCUCUCUGAUAGAGAUAAACUAAACACAAUUAAGCAAUGAAUUUUUUCACUGAUGUGAAGCAUUUUGUCAAGAAUAAGUCAUGUAUUCACGCACAUGGUUAUUUAAUAAAAUUUGUAUGUGCUGCAGCUUC